GAUUUUGAACGUCCAGCCCACGCGUUAAGCGAAAGGCUGAUGGCUGGUGGCUUUUGCCACCGGCCU
rnacentral:sRNA from 2 species